AUGUUUGUCCCAUAUGAUAACAAAAUGGCAAUGACAUCAUUUGAUGAACUAGGAAGCUGUAACCUGUUAUAAAAGUAAAAGUCCUGAUCUUUUUCUUUCUUUUUUUUUUAUUAAAGAAACGUUUUCUAAAAAUGUUCAUCUUUAAAUAAUUACAUUAGAUGUAUGUUUCAUUAUAGUACGUUAUUCUGAUUGGCUAACUAGCAAUCUCGUGAUAUUCCUUAAUCAAUUGCAUUACACAAUGCAACUUUUCAUUCAUGAUGACACGAGGUCCCACAAUAAAGUGCACAGGUAAAUGAAAUAAAAACUAGAUAAAAUGCGUGUAUUCAUGAUCCUAUAGGUAAAAAUGUAAUUAUAAGUAUUGAAUGCUUUUUUUUUGUAACUUUAUAGGGUUGUAAAAGCGUUGACCGUGCGCACAUUUUUAGUAUGAAGCGCUUCUGCGCUUCAUACAAAAUGUACUUCGGUCAACGCUUUUACACCCCAAUAAAUUUACAAAAAAGAGCAUUCAAUUCUUAA
rnacentral:lncRNA from 1 species